UACGUAGGGUGCGAGCGUUGCUCGGAAUUACUGGGCGUAAAGCGUGCGUAGGCGGUUCUCCAAGUCCGGUGUGAAAGCCCCGGGCUCAACCUGGGAAUGGCAGUGGAAACUAGGGGACUGGAAUCUGGCAGAGGGGGGUGGAAUGCCGCGUGUAGCAGUGAAAUGCGUAGAGAUGCGGCGGAACACCGAUGGCGAAGGCAGCCCCCUGGGCUGAGACUGACGCUCAGGCACGAAAGCGUGGGGAGCAAACAGG
rnacentral:rRNA from 1 species